rnacentral:rRNA from 1 species
AUUGAACGCUGGCGGAAUGCUUUACACAUGCAAGUCGAACGGCAGCACGGGGGCAACCCUGGUGGCGAGUGGCGAACGGGUGAGUAAUACAUCGGAACGUGCCCAGUCGUGGGGGAUAACGUAGCGAAAGUUACGCUAAUACCGCAUACGAUCUACGGAUGAAAGCGGGGGAACGUAAGGCCUCGCGCGAUUGGAGCGGCCGAUGUCAGAUUAGGUAGUUGGUAAGGUAAAGGCUCACCAAGACGACGAUCUGUAGCUGGUCUGAGAGGACGACCAGCGACACUGGGACUGGGACGCUGCCCAGAGUCCGACGGGGGGCAUCAGUGGGGAAUUUUGGACAAUGGGCGCAAGCCUGAUCCAGCCAUUCCGCGUGCAGGACGAAGGCCUUCGGGUUGAAAACUGCUUUUGUAGGGAACGAAAAGGCUCUGGUUAAUACCUGGGGCUCAUGACGGUACCGUAAGAAUAAGCACCGGCUAACUACGUGCCAGCCGCCGCCGUAA